rnacentral:lncRNA from 1 species
GAGCUUUCUUGCCUCUUCUGCCAUGUGAGGGCACAGCAAGAAGACCAUGCUCUAUAAAUCAGAAAAUGGGUCCUUACAGACCAAACUGGCUGGCACCUUUAUUGUGGACUUUCCAAUCUGUGGAAAUGUGAGAAAUAAGUGUUGUGUAAGGCCAUGGUAUUUUUGUUAUAGGAACCAUGAAGACAGUUUUUAUAGACCAAAGUUAAGGCUGAAUUGAGAAGGCUCAGAAGACCCUGGCUAGAGUUUCGUCAAGUUUAAAAUGAUCGUCAACUCUGUAUACAUCAAAAUUGAGUUCAGUGCGUGCUGGACUGUUUUCUCUGUUUCAAUAGUAUAUGACUCAUUAAAAUAUGUUGUUACUACUUUUUCUUCAAU